rnacentral:lncRNA from 1 species
GGAUGACCAAUGCUUGACCAAUGGUUGACCAGUAUGGGAACAGUGGUGGACCAAACAUUGACAAAAGGCUGACCAAGGGUUGACCUGCAGUUGACCAGUAGUUAACCAAUGGUUGAUGAAUGGUUGACCAAUGGUUGACCAAAGGCUGACCAGUGGAUGACCAGUGGCUGACCAGUGCUUGACCAGUAGUUGACCAAUGGAUGACCAAUGCUUGACCAAUGGCUGACCAGUAUGGGAACAGUGGUGGACCAAACAUUGACAAAAGGCUGACCAAGGGUUGACCUGCAGUUGACCAGUAGUUAACCAAUGGUUGAUGAAUGGUUGACCAAUGGUUGACCAAAGGCUGACCAGUGCUUGACCAGUAGUAGACAAACGGAUGACCAAACAUGGACAAAAGGCUGACCAAGGGUUGAUCAGUAGUUGACCAAUGGUUGAUUGUAGGAAAUCAGCGGGAGAAAUGCGACGACCAUAGCAGAUGAUCAGCAAAUCUCGUUUAUUGUUUCGGCUGCGUGUAAAUUUAUAGCGCAGAUAAUAGGCUCAUACAUAUGGCUCAAGUGGAGCUCGGGAUUGGCUCGCUAGUCAGGGUCAACUACGCCCAUCUUUGUGCUCUGUGGUUAUCUCUCAGCAAACACUCUCUUACAGACUUCUCAAAUCACUGUUGCCAGCUUUGUUCAUCUGCAUCCUGUUUUGUUCCUAGUCCUCAUACCUGACCUUGCGCAUAACAAGGUUCCUUAACCAGCUGCACAGUGUCUGCAUGGCCUUUCUCAGUCAGCCAGUCAU